AACCUAGCACACCUGCGGUGUGUACCUGCGGAGGGAUCAUUACUGAGUGUAAAAACUCCCAAACCCAUUGUGAACAUACCGCUGUUGCUUCGGCGGAUACGCCCCGGGCGCGCUCUUCACAGGGCGUGCCCCGGAACCAGGCGCCCGCCGGGGGACCGAAACUCUUGUUUUCUUAGGAUCUCUGAGUGUGAUUAUUAAAUAAAUCAAAACUUUCAGCAAUGGAUCUCAGAUCGGAAGAGC
rnacentral:misc_RNA from 1 species